rnacentral:lncRNA from 1 species
AAUUUUUUCUAUUUAUUUUCUGUUUGUUAUAAUACAUAUUAUGGUCGACUUCAAAAUACUCACGAGAUUCUUGGAGAAAAUUCAAGAUAUAUUGUAUUUUAAUUUGUGUUGCUUUUGUUUUAUUUCAAGAUGAUUUGAUGGAAUUGCAGUUUUAAUUUGUGCUGCUUUUGUUUUAUUUCAAGAUGAUUUGAUGGAAUUUUCAAGAUGAUUUGUUUUAUUAUUUCUAUUUUUAGUAAGCAAUUUACUAUAUAUUUAUAAUAGUGACGCAACAAACAAAAUAAGUUUCCCC